rnacentral:rRNA from 1 species
AUUGAACGCUGGCGGCAGGCCUAACACAUGCAAGUCGAACGAGUGGCGGACGGGUGAGUAAUGUCUGGGAAACUGCCCGAUGGAGGGGGAUAACUACUGGAAACGGUAGCUAAUACCGCAUACCAUCGGAUGUCCCCAGAUGGGAUGAGCUAGGAGGUGGGGUAACGGCUCCCCUGGGCGACGAUCCCGAGCUUGUCUGAGAGGAUGACCAGCCACACUGGAACUGAGACACGGUCCAGACUCCCACGGGAGGCAGCAGUGGGUAAUAUUGCACAAUGGGCGCAAGGCUGAUGCAGCCAUGCCGCGUGUAUGAAGAGGGCCUUCGGGUUGUAAAGUACUUUCAGCGAGGAGGCGUUACUCGCAGAAGAAGCAUCGGCUAACUCCGUGCCAGCCGCCGCGGUAAUUC